GCGAUAAGUUGGAGGAAGGUGGGGAAGAANNCAAGUCAUCAUGGCCUUUAUGUCCAGGGCUACACACGUGCUACAAUGGACGGUACAAAGCGCCGCAAACCCGCGAGGGGGAGCAAAUCGCAAAAAACCGUUCUCAGUUCGGAUUGCAGGCUGCAACUCGCCUGCAUGAAGCUGGAAUCGCUAGUAAUGGCAUAUCAGAACGAUGCCGUGAAUACGUUCCCGGGCCUUGUACACACCGCCCGUCACAUCACGAAAGUGGGUUG
rnacentral:rRNA from 1 species